UUAUGAUUAUAAAACAACAAAUCUACAAGGACAUAUUAUUUUAAAAUUAAAACUUUGAAUGAAUAAAAACGGUGUUUUAUUAUUAUUGUUUCGAUUGAAUCGCACGUGUGCGCAAACAGCAUGUAAAAUAUUAUUCGUGGAGAGAAAACCACACACGUUCCGUACGAUUUGUUGUGAAGCGUGAACGACGAAUAAUAUCGGCGAAUGGAUUUCGAACCGAAAUCGCCAACACUCGCACGACGUUAACCGUUAAUUGACGGCCAUCUCACGGUCGCGUCGCGGCGGCUAUCACUGUCGCGAGCGUCUGGAAGAUUACAAAUUAAAUCACAUUGUUAUUAUUGUUAUUAUCAAUCCAUUGAUGAAUGUUCCUAAACGUACUAGUCCGGAGAAAUUUUAUUUUUAACGACGCGUAUAGAGAUAGAGAGAGAGAGAGAGAGAAAAAAAUUUCCAAAAUAC